rnacentral:tmRNA from 1 species
CGACUCGUCGUUCGCUCUCGCCGCUUAACACCGGUGAGCGUUGCAACAGCUCGCUGCCGGGCUGGGAGGGAAACCUCCGCAACGUCAUUCACGGCAGCUCGCCCUGAGCCGCGCCACGUGGCGCAGGGUUAAACCCAGUGGAUCGGCCCAAUGCAGCGUGUGCGUGCGCGUCAGAGGGCUCAAAACCAAAUCACUGCACUAAGCAUGUAGCGCCUGAUGUGGAUGAUUCGCGGACGGGGGUUCAAUUCCCCCCGGCUCCACCA